UGCUCCUACAGGUGAACCGAACAAGUGUUAUGCCAAUUUCAAUAGUCUAUAUGGAUAAGUGUUCAGAAACUUAAUACAUGCUUUGUUUUAUGCUUUACCCACAGAACCCUAACUACAGAUUAUGUGAUUACUGCAGAUUUAAAAACACACAAAAUUGCUAUACAGAAGACAACCAGAUAUGGAGAAUCCUGUAUCUCCCACCAUCACCAAAGAAAAAGUGUUUUUUCAACAAACCUUGUUUGCCAACAUUUGCUGUUGUGCCUCUAUUUGCUGCUGCUGUCGUGAUGCCAUUUCCUGCAGUUCUGCCAGAGUCAUAUCCAUCCGAGGAGCAUUGAUCUUCAGUAAUAAAAGUAGACAAAAACAUGGCUAUUAUCUGAAACCCCCACAAGAAAAAUGUUCCCUGGCUUCAGAGGAGACUCCAUCAGGCACCAAAGCAACAUAUUUUACUAUCAAAAAGUUCUAACCAUCAGGAAAUUCUUCCUAAUGCUUAGAUGGAAUCUCUUUUGCUACAGUUUGAAUCCACUGCUCUGUGUCCUAAUCUCUAAAGCAACAGAAAACAAGUUUGCACCCUCAUCAAUAUUGCAUCAUUUCAAAUAUUUAAGCAUGACUAUCAUAUCCCCUUUCAGCCUUCUCUUCUCCAAGCUAAACAUGUCAAGCUCCCUAAGUUGCUUCUUAUGGAAUCUGACUAAAAUCAUCAACCAAAAGACAUCCAGAUGUCAUCCUGGUCCAAUGCCAAGUCGAAACUUGUGUCUUCCACUCAUCAAUGACAUACUGACCUCUUGAAUAUCCUAAGCAAAAAGUAGAUGUUCCACACAGUAAUUAUGAGCUAUGGGAAAAAUUAAGUGAUGAUACAACACAGGCAUAUUAUGUUUAUCCAUCUGACAUGAAAGUGAGGAAGAUAUUUUUGAUGAUUUCAAAUAUAAAGGAAGAGAAAUCCUAACAAAGAUUCCAAAAGAAAUAUUUUACUGGGCACAAGUCUAUGUAAUAUCACUGUAAUAUCACAGAGAGAAAUUUAAAUCUACCACACUAAAGCUGCCUCUUUAUUCCUGUGAUACUGACUGCUUACUAACUGGCCAUGGUAGUAAAAUUGAAAUUUCUCACUAUAUAAUGAAAUGUUCUGAAAAAUAUAUUCAGAAUAAAAAACUUAUUUUCUUAAUUGCAUUUCAGAGAGGCUAAUGUAAAUACUUACUCCAUUCUCUAUUCUUCGUUCACUAACCAUUUUUACACCAUUUCUUUUUGAGCUUGGAUCCUGCAGUCUUGGCCCACCUCCUUUAAUGAUUACAAAGGAAAAUAAAAAUAAGUAAAAUAUCGCAUGAAUUCCUUUCAAUAUAACUUUACUUCUGAAAUGCUGAAAGACAUAAAAGAAGGUUUCUACAGACUAGCA